GAUGAACGCUGGCGGCGUGCUUAACACAUGCAAGUCGAACGGAAAGGCCCUGCUUUUGUGGGGCGCUCGAGUGGCGAACGGGUGAGUAACACGUGAGUAACCUGCCCUUGACUUUGGGAUAACUUCAGGAAACUGGGGAUAAUACCGGAUAGGAGCUCCUGCUGCAUGGUGGGGGUUGGAAAGUUUCGGCGGUUGGGGAUGGACUCGCGGCUUAUCAGCUUGUUGGUGGGGUAGUGGUUUACCAAGGCUUUGACGGGUAGCCGGCCUGAGAGGGUGACCGGCCACAUUGGGACUGAGAUACGGCCCAGACUCCUACGGGAGGCAGCAGUGGGGAAUAUUGCACAAUGAGCGGGAGCCUGAUGCGGCAACGCCGCGUGCGGGAUGACGGCCUUCGGGUUGUAAACCGCUUUCGCCUGUGACGAGGCGUGAGUGACGGUAAUGGGUAAAGAAGCACCGGCUAACUACGUG
rnacentral:rRNA from 1 species